UACGUAGGGGGCAAGCGUUGUCCGGAAUCAUUGGGCGUAAAGAGCUCGUAGGCGGCUCGUCGCGUCGACCGUGAAAACCCGCGGCUUAACUGCGGGCUUGCGGUUGAUACGGGCGGGCUAGAGUUCGGUAGGGGAGACUGGAAUUCCUGGUGUAGCGGUGGAAUGCGCAGAUAUCAGGAGGAACACCGGUGGCGAAGGCGGCAUCCUGGACCGAAAUUGACGCUGAGGCGCGAAAGCCAGGGGAGCAAACGGG
rnacentral:rRNA from 1 species